rnacentral:misc_RNA from 1 species
UUGAAUGCAACUGGAGUCGGUUGUCGCUGGCCUCUUCACUGAGGCAUGUGCACGCCUUCUCCGUUCAUCCACACACACCUGUGCACUUGUGAGACGGACUAACCCUUCCGAGGGGAUGCCCCGUCUAUUAUACAUAAACUCCAAUAUAUUAAAUUUGAAUGUAAUCAGAUGUAACACAUCAUUGAAC